CAGUCGCCGCGGGAAUACGGAGGGUGCAAGCGUUAAUCGGAAUUACUGGGCGUAAAGCGUGCGUAGGCGGUUCGUUAUGUCUGUUGUGAAAGCCCCAGGCUCAACCUGGGAAUGGCAAUGGAUACUGGCGAGCUAGAGUGUGUCAGAGGAUGGUGGAAUUCCCGGUGUAGCGGUGAAAUGCGUAGAGAUCGGGAGGAACAUCAGUGGCGAAGGCGGCCAUCUGGGACAACACUGACGCUGAGGCACGAAAGCGUGGGGAGCAAACAGGAUUAGAUACCCCCGUAGUCCCUGUCUCUUAUAC
rnacentral:rRNA from 1 species